CUAGGAAAUAAUAUAAAGGAGUAUGGAGGGUUUUGAUCCCUCUUGUACAGGUUCGAUUCCUGUUUUUCUAA
rnacentral:tRNA from 1 species